AGAGUUUGAUCCUGGCUCAGAAUCAACGCUGGCGGCGUGCCUAACACAUGCAAGUCGAACGAGAAAGUGGAGCAAUCCAUGAGUAAAGUGGCGACCGGGUGAGUAACACGUGACUAACCUACCUCCGAGUGGGGAAUAACUCCGGGAAACCGGGGCUAAUACCGCAUAACAUCGCGAGAUCAAAGCAGCAAUGCGCUUGGAGAGGGGGUCGCGGCUGAUUAGCUAGUUGGCGGGGUAACGGCCCACCAAGGCGAAGAUCGGUAUCCGGCCUGAGAGGGCGCACGGACACACUGGAACUGAAACACGGUCCAGACUCCUACGGGAGGCAGCAGUGGGGAAUUUUGCGCAAUGGGGGAAACCCUGACGCAGCAACGCCGCGUGGAGGAUGAAGCCCUUUGGGGCGUAAACUCCUUUCGACCAAGACGAUAAUGACGGUACUGGUGGAAGAAGCACCGGCUAACUCUGUGCCAGCAGCCGCGGUAAUACAGAGGGUGCGAGCGUUGUUCGGAAUUAUUGGGCGUAAAGGGCGCGUAGGCGGUGCCACAAGUCACUUGUGAAAUCUCCGGGCUUAACUCGGAGUCUGCAGGCGAAACUGUGGUGCUGGAGUGUGGGAGAGGUGCGUGGAAUUCCCGGUGUAGCGGUGAAAUGCGUAGAUAUCGGGAGGAACACCUGUGGCGAAAGCGGCGCACUGGACCAUAACUGACGCUGAGGCGCGAAAGCUAGGGGAGCAAACAGGAUUAGAUACCCUGGUAGUCCUAGCCCUAAACGAUGAUUGCUUGGUGUAGCAGUACCCAAUCCUGCUGUGCCGCAGCUAACGCGAUAAGCAAUCCGCCUGGGGAGUACGGUCGCAAGGCUGAAACUCAAAGG
rnacentral:rRNA from 1 species